rnacentral:rRNA from 1 species
AGAGUUUGAUCAUGGCUCAGGAUGAACGCUAGCGGCAGGCCUAAUACAUGCAAGUCGAACGGGAAGGGUCCUUCGGGGCCCUGAGAGUGGCGCACGGGUGCGUAACGCGUAUGCAACCAACCCCUUUCCGGGGGGACAGCCGGUGGAAACGCCGGGUAAUACCCCAUGUCGAUCCAUUUGGGCAUCCAAGAGGAUUGAAAGAUUUCGGUCGGAGAGGGACGGGCAUGCGUCCCAUUAGCUGGUUGGCGGGGCAACGGCCCACCAAGGCGAUGAUGGGUAGGGGAUCUGAGAGGACGGUCCCCCACACUGGUACUGAGACACGGACCAGACUCCUACGGGAGGCAGCAGUAAGGAAUAUUGGGCAAUGGGGGGAACCCUGACCCAAGCCAUGCCGCGUGAGGGAAUAAGGCCCUACGGGUCGUAAACCUCUUUUGCCCGGGGACAAGGACGGGGUCGAGAACUCCGUUUGCGGGUACCGGGCGAAUAAGCAUCGGCUAACUCCGUGCCAGCCGCCGC